UACGUAGGGAGCAAGCGUUGUUCGGAUUUACUGGGCGUAAAGGGCGCGUAGGCGGCCACCGCAAGUCGGUUGUGAAAUCUCUGGGCUUAACCCAGAAAGGUCAACCGAUACUGCGGGGCUAGAGUGCAGAAGGGGCAACUGGAAUUCUCGGUGUAGCGGUGAAAUGCGUAGAUAUCGAGAGGAACACCUGCGGCGAAGGCGGGUUGCUGGGCUGACACUGACGCUGAUGCGCGAAAGCUAGGGGAGCGAACGGG
rnacentral:rRNA from 1 species